rnacentral:rRNA from 1 species
UACGAAGGGGGCUAGCGUUGUUCGGAAUUACUGGGCGUAAAGCGCACGUAGGCGGAUCGAUCAGUCAGGGGUGAAAUCCCAGGGCUCAACCCUGGAACUGCCUUUGAUACUGUCGAUCUGGAGUAUGGAAGAGGUGAGUGGAAUUCCGAGUGUAGAGGUGAAAUUCGUAGAUAUUCGGAAGAACACCAGUGGCGAAGGCGACUGACUGGACAAGUAUUGACGCUGAGGUGCGAAAGCGUGGGGAGCAAACAGG